rnacentral:lncRNA from 1 species
UGACAUAGCACAUUUCCCAAUCACUAGGUAACAAAUUAGAUGAAACUGGGGCUGUAGUUCCACUGGUGGAGCGGUUGCCUAGCACAAAGCCUUGGAGUUCAUCCCUAGCCCUGCAUGAACCAGGCAUGGAGGCACACAUCGACAGACCUGGCUCCUGAUCUUAACAAUGCAGAGUGAGCAAUCUGAUGCCAUGAUAUUUUUCAUAACAAAAAUAAACCUUGAGCAAUGUGAGGGUUUGAAUAUGCUUGGCCCAGAGAGUGGCACUAUAAGGAGGUGAGGCCUUAUGGAAGGAAGUGUGUCACUGUGUGGGUGUGUUUGGAGACCCUCCUUCUAAUUACCCGGAAGUUAGUCUUCUCCUGUUUGCCUUUGGAACAACAUGUAGAACUCUCAGCUCCUCCAACGCCAUGCCUGUCUGGAUGCUACCAUGCUUCCUGCCAUGAUGAUAAUGCAAAAUUUGGAAAGGAAAAAUAAGAUUAAUAUAAUGUAAAGGUGAUAUGUUAUCCAAAUGAAAAACUCAAUUGGAGACACCCUCAGGUAAAUGAUAUGAUGGUGAGAUAGCUCAGCAGGUAAAGACACUUACCACCAAAUGAACCAAGAGUUUGACUCACAUAGUGGAGAAAACUGACUCCUGAAAAUUGGCCUCUGAGCUCAUCACGCCCAUCACAUACAAACACACAAGCACUCAUGUCUAAGCUAAAUAAUAAAAUAUAACUAAAAAUAAGAGUUUUGCAUGUUCGUCUUAAAUAUAAAAAUAGGUUCUACCUUUAGGACAAAAUAUUGAAUAUAUUGUAUUUUAUCAUUAAAGGUCUUG